rnacentral:lncRNA from 1 species
GCUGCUGAGCUCCACUCCUGCCCUGUGCCACCCAGCUGCUGGGCCCAUCCAGUGGUUCUGAAGGGCUGGUGGGUGAAAUUAGUUAAAAUAAAUGUGUGAAUAACCGCCCCACACAGGCUUUGAGAAGCUUCUCUCUUACCUCUUGGCAGUGCUGUUAUUGCCAGGAAAAAAGUGCAGGCGUGCAAUGGGCGAAGCAGACCAAAAUGUUACCUUUCAUGAUUAUAUUUCACCCAUCUUUAAAUUGGAAAAUACCCUUUGUUUCAUAUAUGUGACAAGAGAACUAUAUAACAUUAAUAUAAAAGAGAUCCUAAAUCCUGCUUGGAAUUGCCAUUGGCUGGCUAUUAAUGUAUUUUCAAUGGUGUUUUUCAUUUGUAGCUGAGUAAUAACUUGCCAGGAUGUUCUGCUUGGGAGCGUUCAAUGAGGUUGAAAGUGCUUGGGAUGCUCCAGGACUUCACCCCGGCUUCGCAGCCUUCCACCUUGCCUCGAAACUGCUGGGAGCCUGAUCUGUGUGUCUGCCUGCCUCCAGCCAGCCAUCAUCCUUCAUCAUGUGGAAAAGCAGAGAAGGAAAAGUGCCUUUAAUGCAGAAAUAGGUUAUGGUUUGGGGUUUUUUUUUUGUCUCAGAAUUUAUUAUCUCCUGAAAAGGAAACCACAUGCCCAAAGCAGCUGUUGGGCUGACCUCCCUUCCCUACAUGUGGGGCCCCAGUUGCGUGCUGGUGGGGGGAAGGGAGAAGUGGUAAUGCUUUGCCUUGGUCUGCUCUGUCCUGACUUUGCUGGGUUUGGCUCUGCAGCUGGGUGCCCAGUGGCCAGUGGUGACUCCCAGCCUGGGGAAGGCUUGGGUGCGCCUGCCGUGUCAGGGGGGCUGCACACAGACCCUUCCCUCCAGGAGAGCUGUGUCAGCACGUGGACUGCUAUCUGUCUUCACAUUCCCUUUCAGAGUUCAUAAAAUGUUAACUUUCGAAAGGGAGGUCCCCCUUGUGUAUUUAUGUCAGUGAUUUUGGGGUUUAAAGUAUUCAUGCAUGAAAAAUGAUUGUAGGAACUGUAUACUCCCAUGUGUGAAUAAUGACUACAUGGGAACACAGAUUACAGCAGUUUUGCACUGAGACUGCUGCAGUUUACAGGCUCUCUUUGGGAACGUUAUGAGACGUUUUUAAAUGCUGGUGCAUGUUAAUGCAUUGAUUUCAAUCAGUCUUUUUGUCCCUUUUGGAUUUGUUCAACUUAACAGCUAGCAUGUCUCAUGUUUGCUCUAAGAUAUGCCUAGCAAAUUAGGCAAAUUAAAAAAUGCAUGCAAAAAUAUGGUGCUAGGCACAUGUAUCAGGUUUGUUAUUUAUUAAUAGACUCCAAUUUCCAUACGAUAGCCUGGUGGUUUUUUUUUUUUUCCUGCUUUGGCUCAGUGGAUAGUUUAUGCCAAUUACAUGUAGUUUAACAGCUUUGAAAUCUGUUUUUGCUUUUCUUAUGCAUAAAGACAUGGACUCUUUUUUCAGGUUUUAAUUAAACUCUACACUGACUUUAAAGAUUCUAU